GUGCUUGCUUUGGUAACACAUAUACUAAAAUUGGAACAGUACAAAGAAGAUUAGUAUGGCCCUUGCACAAGAAUGACACACACAUUUGUGAAGUGUUCUUCCUAAAA
rnacentral:snRNA from 1 species